GGUCAAGUUGUCAAGGGCGAACGGUGGAUGCCUUGGCACCAGGAGCCGAUGAAGGACGUGGGAGGCCGCGAUAGGCCUGGGGGAGCUGUCAACC
rnacentral:rRNA from 1 species